CACGUAGGGUGCGAGCGUUGUCCGGAAUUAUUGGGCGUAAAGAGCUCGUAGGCGGUGUGUCGCGUCGGCCGUGAAAACCUGCAGCUUAACUGUGGGCUUGCGGUCGAUACGGGCAUCACUGGAGUUCGGCAGGGGAGACUGGAAUUCCUGGUGUAGCGGUGAAAUGCGCAGAUAUCAGGAGGAACACCGGUGGCGAAGGCGGGUCUCUGGGCCAAGACUGACGCUGAGGCGCGACAGCGUGGGGGAGCAAACAGG
rnacentral:rRNA from 1 species